rnacentral:lncRNA from 1 species
GAUAAAUGUUUUAUUUUGUCGUGUUUGGUAUGCAGCAUCAUUUUGAUUUUUAUUAGAUUAGUCUUUUCUUUUGACUUCUUUUCUUGCAGGCUCUUUCUGAAGGCAACAUUAUAAGGCUUCAAAAAUAGCACAGUGAGCCAAGAGAAACUGCAAAGACACCGCUGUGGGAUGGUGAUUUGGAUAUAAAAUUCUCUGAGCCAGGUGACAUGUUUAUGACUAACUCACGUCAGACUUACUCAUUUAGUAUUGGCACUAUUUCAAGUAAAAAAGAAUUCUCUUUUUCUAAUCUUUCAGAAGAUAUUAUUAAUUUAAAAGAUAGCUAAAAGGUGCCAUGAGGUUGAGGACAAAAGCAGAUGGCAUAUUCCAGUGUGUGUUUCUGUCCCCUGACAUGGAAUGGUCAGUGGAAAUCCUGUGAUUAUUUUUUGCAGGGUAUGAUAAGCUGUUGGACCAUCUUAGACAACCAUCUAGACCCUGGAGCCAUUGUAGUUUGGGUAUACAAUCCAAUCCUGGAUAUUGUUUUAUGCUGACCCUUUUGAAAAGUUUUGGCUCAAAAAUGACACAUGUACCAUCCAUAGCAUUGCAAUGACAAGAACAAGUUAGAAGGACACAGCCAAAUGUAAGCAGAAUGUGGGCAGGGGAGGGUUUGUGGUGGUGGUGGAAAAUGUAUCCCGGCUGGGCGACCAGCCACUUCCCAGUGGCAACUUUAUACUUUUUACUGUAGAACAGUGGCCCCCAGGCUUUUUGGCACCAGGGAACAGUUUCAUGUAAGACAAUUUUUCCAUAGGGGUAGUAGGGGACCUGGAUGGUUUCAGGAUGAAACGGUUCCACUUCAGAUCAUCAGGCAUUAGAUCCUCAUAAGGAGCUCGCAACUUGGAUCCCUCGCAUGUGCAGUUCGCAAUAGAAUUUGCACUCCUAUAAUAAUCUAAUGGUGCACUGAUCUGACAGGAGGCAGAGCUCAGGUGGAAAUGCUCCCUGGCUGCCACUCACCUCCUGCUCUGUGGCCCAGUUCCUAACUGGCCAUAGGCAGCAGCCUGGGGGUUGGGAACCCCUGCUGUAGGAGGAAGAGUAUAUAAUUUGUUGUGACCAUCUCUGCCACAAUUUGCCCCUUUGGUCGGCAAAUUUCUGGGCAGAACAUCCUCUGUUACACAUCAAAUCAACUCAGCUUUUUCUUGGGGAGAAAAUUCCUCAUCCAUUGCCUUCCACGACUUUCGAUUUCACCCAUGUCUUCAUAUGACAUGGGCAUUGGAAGUGAAUCUUCCUUCCAUGAGGUUGGUUUCUUGCUGGUGCAAAUCUGGAGAACCAAAGUUUGAGGCUCAAACACUUAUAGACUUACCUGCUAAAAUCAAUAAGUAAGUAAAACCAACACAUCUUGUUCUUUCUAUCCAUUUUCUCUAGAGCCACUGCUUCAAUAGGAAAGUGGUAUGUCUUCUAAUUAUUGUUAAUGAGGACUAUCAAUUUCUAUCAUACAACACAUGGGGUACUAGCUUUUGAGAUUAUGGUAUGUAUUUUCAUGCCUUGUGGUAUCUUCUUCUAAUAUUAAGCUAAUCACCAUUUAUUUUAGAUUAUUGUUAAGGCAGAACACUAAUGUUCUGAUUUCCAUAUUAAGUUUUAAAAAUUGUUUGAGUGAUUAUUUUCAAUUUCCUCCCAUGGCUUCUUACUCUACUGUCUUAAUGUGAUUAAUAGUGUAUAAUGACCAAAUUACAAGCAAGAGAAAGAAGAAUAGAAAAAAAAUAAGAUGACAUUUUAAAUAGCUUAUCAAUGUUUACAUAAUAGUGAAAUACUAGAAAAGAGAUUUUCUUAAUAAUUAUCUUUUAAAAAU